GUUUGAGGUGCCGGGCAGGAAAUGAGUAAAAGAGGAGGCCUGUAGGAGUGUGAAGAACGGAGACAUCUCAUGGGGUGGACUUGGCUUUUCAGCACUGAGAUGAGCUGCUCCUCACACCCCCUUCUCUGUCCCGACCAGCACAAGGAAGACAAUAUCAGUGAUUUGUGCUGCCUGGUUAUCCAGUCUCUUUACCAACUUGGCUUAUUUGCUUGCUGCGAGAUAUGAACACUUAGGGCUGAAUGUGGCUCUCUUCUCUCUGGCUGAAAUGAACAUAUCCUGCCCCAGCCAAUGAGACAGUAGGAGAGUAACACAGAUGCAAGGAGAAAAACGCCCAGAGCAGCCCUCGAGAUGCCCAGGGAGCCUGUGGAGCCCAUCAGAGCCCACCUAGCGGGUUGCGAGUACAGAGCAAGAAGCAGCUCCUUCCAUGGCAUGAGCACUGAGGAAGAUUGAGAUGGCUUUGCAAACUGGGUCUGGUUCUCCCAGACACAAUUCCAUUGCCUCUCUUACUUUGGAGGAAACAAUCCAAGUUUGCAAUUGUUCUUUGACAAGAAUUUCCCUGAAAAAUGCAUGAAUUCCUUGAGACUGUUCCCAAUUCCCUGAGGUGCCUACGACUCCAAUGCCGGCUGUGUAGCAGAUGCUCAGUGAAAAUCUGCUGCCUUUGUGACCACUCAGGGUGAUAGAAAAAAAAUGUUCUCUUAAUGAAUAAGAUUCAUCCUUCUAUUCCCCAACGAAAAGGCAAAACACAGGCUGCUCUCUUGGUAACAUGUGUCAACCAAUGAUACUUAGCCUGCUAGGGCCCACUUAUCGAUCCUUUCCUGUUAGCCUACUAUGCAUCAGCUCUUCUAGUAGAUCUAUAUAUACAGAGCCAGCAGCCAAUGGAAGGGUGUUGGCCACACAGCUAAUUGUCUCCCCCUCCCAGCCAUCAGACCAUUAUUCAGCAGUAGGUAAAGUUUUCCCCUCCCUCCUACCACCUCUAGGGCAGAAAGUGUCUAGAGAGGGGAAACAAAUCCAAAUAAACAUAUGCAAGAUCUGGGGUUUAAACAUCCCGUGCAGAUUAACUUAUCUGCAGUAAUUGCCUUAACUAGGGGAUUUUUAAUGCUUUUCAAAGUUUCUUAGAGGAGGGAAAAAUAUGCAGAAUGAGUCUUAUAGCAGCCAACAGAGGAGAUACUCAGAGCAAAAAAAAAAAAAAAAAAAAA